rnacentral:misc_RNA from 1 species
CCUUCACAGAAUAGCUCUUCCUUGAUCAGUUGCAGAAACUUGGGUUCUUCUCAGGACAUCACUGACCGAGAAACUGCUGGACAGCAUUCUGUUCGCCAAUUCAUGGAUGAUUGGCCUAAAAGCCAGUCUGAUCGAUCUGCUGUUUCAUGGCCUCAACUCGAUGGGCAAUCAGAUAGAACCCAGUUGUCAAUUUCAAUCCCCA